UUCUAGAGAGAAGUAGAAGUUGCAAAUGCCUCGUGAACUUAUUCGUUUUUAAAAAGUCUGAUGGCCAAGACUAGUGCUGAAUGGAUGCCUGAGGAACAGGAACAUCUCUGCUCCAAACGGGCUCAUCUGAUUCAGCUGAGUCUGAGCCGCCAACUCGCUCGUCUCCCUGGGGUACACCUGGGUGCUAAAGGAAGUCCUGAAGCUGAAGAGAACACAGGCGCACGCUCGCUCUUCCCGUCCCUCCCUCCAGGGAUGGACUCACAGUGACUACAGCCCGAGGCAAAGAGCAAGAUCCCAAGCCCGCAGAGCAGUUCAGUGAGCAUCUUUUUUCAAGUAAUGUCCACACCCAACGUGGAGCUCAGACUCACAACCCCAAGAUCAAGAGUCGCAUGUUCCACCAACUGAGUCAGCCAGGCAUCCUCGAUGAGCAUCUUCAUGGCCAUACUUGGAACUCUUUAUCAGCAUCUUCACCAGGAGUAGAUUUCAUCUCAAGAAACUGCUUUCUUUGCUCACCCAGAAGAAAUAAGUCCUCAUCCCAUUCAAGUUUCAUCAUGAGACGACAGCACUUCAGUCACGUCUUCAGGCUCCCUUUCUCAUUCUCCUGCUAUUUCCACCACAUCGGUAGUUUCUUCCUCCACUGACAUCUCAAACCCCUCAAGAUCAUCUAUGGUUAGAAUCUGCUUUUUCCAAACUCCUGUGAAGGUUGGUAUUUUGACUUCUUACAUUGAAUCACAGAUAUCCUUAAUGGCAUCCAGAAUGGUAAAUCCUUUCCAGAAGGUUUUCAACCAACUAUGCCCAGCUCCAUCAAGGGAGCCACUAGCUGUGGUAGCUACAGCAUUACAAAAUAUGUUUCUUAAAUCAUAAGGCUUGGAAGUCAAAAUGACUCUUUGAUCCACGGGCUGAAGAAUAAUGUUGUUUUCAUGCCGGCUAACACAACAUCCAGUCUCAUUAUAUAUCUCCACCAGAGCCCUUGGGUGACCAGGCACAUUGUCAAUGUGCAGUAGUAUUUUAAAAGCAAUCUUUUGUGUGUGGGGGGGGCUGAAAAUAUUCAGUUAAAUGUGUAAUAAACAGAUGUGCUGUCAUCCA